AAAACAGUAUGAGCUGACAGCCGACUCUUCUUUGGUUUUUUUUUCCUCUUUAAACACUCCGACGGGGUUUAGUGGCUAGCCAAAAAAAGUUAGCCAUGUUUAAAUAACACGGCUUCUCUAUGAAAACUAAACAAUAUGAGCUAAAGGUUGGCUCUGAUACCACAAUAUAGGAAUACCAUGCAGCGGAAUAAUAAUAAUCAAAUAAAUUUUACCAACCUCCGGCCAUCAUUGAUUAAACACCCUUGCAAUUAAGCACCAACCAUCUUGAUUAAGCACCCACACGAGAGGAAAGAGGAAAGAGAAAGAGACCUGCGGGAGAGAGAGAAGAGGAGAUCCGGAGCUUCUAACCUAUGCAGGACUUGAGUGGCUUAGGUGAUGCUAUUUAUAGAGGUAGGUUAGGAACCCGGAUCCUUAUCUUUAAGGCUUAUCUCUAAUUAGUUUCCAUCCAUUACGGAAACCAUUUGAUAAGGUAAACUCUGAAUAAUCUCUAAUCAGAUUGGAUUAAGUCACUAUUUAAACGAGAUUGUGUUCAUCUUGAUGUGGGUAAAC
rnacentral:lncRNA from 1 species